GAUCUUUUGAAUUCGGCUGCUUGAGUAAUUAGGGAUUUGGUUCCUUGGAGUGUCCUUAGGAGUAGCAGAUUGAAUCGAUGAGAUCGAUGGCUUUGCCGUCUGGGAUUCCGAAGUUGUUGCCGGAUUUCCGACGAAUUUCCAGUCCAGUUUGUGCGCGGCCUGUCUUCAGAUCAUAGUGAAGCGAGUUUUAUUCAACUCAGGUACUGUAUUUGAGUUUUAAUUUUGGAUUUUUGUUAAUUUGGACGACACCCUAACAGUUUGGUUUUGCGGUGAGUUGUGGUGCUUUGUCAGGGCUUUCCCAGCUAAAAGGGGAUUUUGCGUUUUGUCUCCUCAGUUGAUAAACCUGAGAUUUGACAGUAGCUAGAACGCCACUGUUACUUUUUGGGAUAUUGAGUCUGUAUGACAUCAAUGAGGAGGACAUUGAUGGUGUCACUGAUCGUUCUCAGCUUUCAACAGUAACACAACCAUCUCCACUCCAGAUGCAGCUACCCAUAUUAGAGUUGCCAAAAGUUUGUUCUUCUCCAUUCUGUUUAUUUGUGAUAUUCAUGUAAUUUCAAAUCCAGCAUAGGGACAUUAGAUGCUAAUAAUUGUGUUGCGUUUAUCUAGAACCUCCAAGGUAUUUAGUGCUCCUGCCUCCACCUUUCUGGAGUUGUUAUUGCAUCUACUUAGUUUGCCUGAGUCGGCAUGAAAUAUCUUAGUUGUAUCUUUAUGAUAUUAAAGCGAGCCUAUUUAUG